rnacentral:rRNA from 1 species
AUUGAACGCUGGCGGCAGGCCUAACACAUGCAAGUCGAGCGGAUGAAGGGAGCUUGCUCCUGGAUUCAGCGGCGGACGGGUGAGUAAUGCCUAGGAAUCUGCCUGGUAGUGGGGGAUAACGUCCGGAAACGGGCGCUAAUACCGCAUACGUCCUGAGGGAGAAAGUGGGGGAUCUUCGGACCUCACGCUAUCAGAUGAGCCUAGGUCGGAUUAGCUAGUUGGUGGGGUAAAGGCCUACCAAGGCGACGAUCCGUAACUGGUCUGAGAGGAUGAUCAGUCACACUGGAACUGAGACACGGUCCAGACUCCUACGGGAGGCAGCAGUGGGGAAUAUUGGACAAUGGGCGAAAGCCUGAUCCAGCCAUGCCGCGUGUGUGAAGAAGGUCUUCGGAUUGUAAAGCACUUAAAGUUGGGAGGAAGGGCAGUAAGUUAAUACCUUGCUGUUUUGACGUUACAAACAGAAUAAGCACCGGCUAACUUCGUG